GGUGGCUCAGUGGUAGAGCGCUAGCCUUGCAUGCAUCAGGCCCUGGGUUCGAUUCCCUAGCACCA
rnacentral:tRNA from 1 species